rnacentral:tRNA from 1 species
GUAGGUUUCGCGCAGGAUCUUCAACGCGUCGAGGUUGUCGCCCUCGAUGUAAAGGUUCUGGGUGGUGUCCCAGUCCUUGCU